UACAGAGAUGGGCAAGCGUUAUCCGGAAUUGAUUGGGCGUAAAGAGCGUGUAGGCGGCCUGAAAGGUCAGCUGUGAAAACUCGAGGCUCAACCUCGAGACGUCGGUUGAAACCAUCUGGCUAGAGUCCGGAAGAGGAGUGUGGAAUUCCCGGUGUAGCGGUGAAAUGCGCAGAUAUCGGGAAGAACACCCGUGGCGAAGGCGGCACUCUGGGACGGUACUGACGCUGAGACGCGAAAGCGUGGGGAGCGAACAGG
rnacentral:rRNA from 1 species